rfam:Murray Valley encephalitis virus strain NG156, complete genome
AGACGUUCAUCUGCGUGAGCUUCCGAUCUCAGUAUUGUUUGGGAGGAUCAUUUGAUUAACGCGGUUUGAACAG